rnacentral:rRNA from 1 species
GAAAAGAAACCAACAGGGAUUGCCCUAGUAACGGCGAGUGAAGCGGCAACAGCUCAAAUUUGAAAUCUGGCCUCGGCCCGAGUUGUAAUUUGCAGAGGAUGCUUCUGGCGCGGUGCCUUCCGAGUUCCCUGGAACGGGACGCCACAGAGGGUGAGAGCCCCGUAUGGUCGGACACCAAGCCUGUGUGAAGCUCCUUCGACGAGUCGAGUAGUUUGGGAAUGCUGCUCUAAAUGGGAGGUAAAUCUCUUCUAAAGCUAAAUACCGGCCAGAGACCGAUAGCGCACAAGUAGAGUGAUCGAAAGAUGAAAAGCACCUUGAAAAGGGGGUUAAAUAGUACGUGAAAUUGUUGAAAGGGAAGCACUUAUGACCAGACUUGGGCCGGGCGGCUCAUCAGGGGUUCUCCCCUGUGCACUCCGCCCGGCACAGGCCAGCAUCGGUUUUCGCGGGGGGAUAAGACCGGCGGGAACGUAGCACCCUCCGGGGUGUGUUAUAGCCCGCCGGACGAUACCCUCGCGGGGACCGAGGUCCGCGCUCCGCAAGGAUGCUGGCGUAAUGGUCAUCAGUGACCCGUCUUGAAACACGGACCAAGGAGUCGUCCAUUAGAGCGAGCGUUUGGGUGUAAAACCCGCACGCGUAAUGAAAGUGAACGCAGGUGAGAGCUUCGGCGCAUCAUCGACCGAUCCUGAUGUCCUCGGAAGGAUUUGAGUAAGAGUUUUAACGGACGGACCCGAAAGACAGUGAACUAUGCUUGUAUAGGGUGAAGCCAGAGGAAACUCUGGUGGAGGCUCGCAGCGGUUCUGACGUGCAAAUCGAUCGUCAAAUAUGAGCAUGGGGGCGAAAGACUAAUCGAACUGUCUAGUAGCUGGUUACCGCCGAAGUUUCCCUCAGGAUAGCAGUGUUGAUCUUCAGUUUUAUGAGGUAAAGCGAAUGAUUAGGGACUCGGGGGCUAUAUAUUGCCUUCAUCCAUUCUCAAACUUUAAAUAUGUAAGAAGCCCUUGUUACUUAGUUGAACGUGGGCAUUCGAAUGUACCAACACUAGUGGGCCAUUUUUGGUAAGCAGAACUGGCGAUGCGGGAUGAACCGAACGCGGGGUUAAGGCGCCAGAGUGUACGCUCAUCAGACACCACAAAAGGCGUUAGUACAUCUUGACAGCAGGACGGUGGCCAUGGAAGUCGGAAUCCGCUAAGGACUGUGUAACAACUCACCUGCCGAAUGUACUAGCCCUGAAAAUGGAUGGCGCUCAAGCGUACCGCCCAUACCCCGCCCCCAGGGUAGAAACGAUGCCCUGGGGAGUAGGCGGCCGUGGGGGUCAGUGACGAAGCCUAGGGCGUGAGCCCGGGUCGAACGGCCCUAGUGCAGAUCUG